UGCGCCUUGCCAGCCCGCUCAGAAACUUAAAGGAAUUGACGGGGGCCCGCACAAGCGGCGGAGCAUGUGGAUUAAUUCGAUGCAACGCGAAGAACCUUACCUGGGUUUGACAUACACCGGAAAACCGUAGAGAUACGGUCCCCCUUGUGGUCGGUGUACAGGUGGUGCAUGGCUGUCGUCAGCUCGUGUCGUGAGAUGUUGGGCUAAGUCCCGCAACGAGCGCAACCCUUGUCUUAUGUUGCCAGCACGUAAUGGUGGGGACUCGUAAGAGACUGCCGGGGUCAACUCGGAGGAAGGUGGGGACGACGUCAAGUCAUCAUGCCCCUUAUGUCCAGGGCUUCACACAUGCUACAAUGGCCAGUACAGAGGGCUGCGAGACCGUGAGGUGGAGCGAAUCCCUUAAAGCUGGUCUCAGUUCGGAUCGGGGUCUGCAACUCGACCCCGUGAAGUCGGAGUCGCUAGUAAUCGCAGAUCAGCAACGCUGCGGUGAAUACGUUCCCGGGCCUU
rnacentral:rRNA from 1 species